GUAUGACUUGCUGCGAGGGUUGGGACAGGGAACCAAAAUGGCGGACAUUUGAUAUGGAUACAACAACUUGACAGUCCCGGAAACAACCUCCUGAGCCGUCGGAAGCUACAAGGACCAACAACACUGUUGACGUAUAUGACACCACUGAUGAAACACUGCUGACCUGAGGGACAGUAUAUGAUGCCACUGAUGAAACACUGCUGACCUGAGGGACAGUAUAUGACACCACUGAUGAAACACUGCUGACCUGAGGGACAGUAUAUGAUGCCACUGAUGAAACACUGCUGACCUGAGGGACAGUAUAUGACACCACUGAUGAAACACUGCUGACCUGAGGGACAGACUCAUAUAUGACGCCACUGAUGAAACACUGCUGACAUGUUGGAGGAGCCGUGAUAUAAGGUGCUGUGCUGUGUUGCUGCAGGACCAGACGUCUCCUCCUGUGUCAAGUACAACUUAUUACAGAAAUAUCAAGAUACACCAUAUGUAUGGCACUUAGAUAAAAUACUUAACAAUGG